AAUAAGUUGGCAGAUAAAUGUAAAUGAUUUAGGAUCAUUAGAUGAAUUACAAUUCACUUAUUA
rnacentral:tRNA from 1 species